GUCUGUGUCCAUACCAUCCUGAAAAUACCCAAUACAUCCUGAUCUCAGAAGCCAAGCAGGGUUGGGCCUGGAUAGUACUUGGAUGGGAAAAUAGAUGAACUUACAUU
rnacentral:rRNA from 1 species